ensembl:snRNA
GUGUUGUAUGAAAGGAGAGAAAGUUAGCACUCCCCUUGAAUGAAGAGGCCCUCAUAACCCAUGCAACACACAUAUGGUUUAGACACUGACACCUACUUAGUGGCAUCUAACCAUGUUUU